AAAACAUCUUUUCUUGAUAUUUAUUUGAGAUUUAACCUGCCCAAUGAAUAUUUUAAUGGCCGCGGUAUUUUGACCGUGCAAAGGUAGCAUAAUCAUUAGUUCAUUAAUUGUGGACUUGUAUGAAUGGUUUGACGAAUUAUUAACUGUCUCAUAUUUAAAUUUAUAAUUUAAAUUUUUAGUUAAAAUGCUUAAAUUUUUUUAAUGGACGAGAAGACCCUAUAGAUCUUUAUUUUAAUUUUUAUUGGUUUAUUUUGGAAUAUUUUUUUCUGUUAAAAAUUAAUUUUUUGUUGGGGUGACAUUGAGAUAUAAUUAACUCUUUAUUUAUUUAUACAUUUAUUUUUGUUUAUUUGACCUAUUAUUAUUGUUUUAAGAUGUAGAUACCUUAGGGAUAACAGCGUUAUUUUUUUUGAGAGUUCAUAUUUACAAAUAAGAUUGCGACCUCGAUGUUGGAUUAAGAUAAUAAUUAGGUGUAGAUGCUUAAUAGUUAAGUCUGUUCGACUUUUAAAUUCUUACAUGAUCUGA
rnacentral:rRNA from 1 species